rnacentral:rRNA from 1 species
CCUGAUGCAGCGACGCCGCGUGGAGGAAGAAGGUCUUCGGAUUGUAAACUCCUGUUGUUGAGGAAGAUAAUGACGGUACUCAACAAGGAAGUGACGGCUAACUACGUGCCAGCAGCCGCGGUAAAACGUAGGUCACAAGCGUUGUCCGGAAUUACUGGGUGUAAAGGGAGCGCAGGCGGGAAGACAAGUUGGAAGUGAAAUCCAUGGGCUCAACACAUGAACUGCUUUCAAAACUGUUUUUCUUGAGUAGUGCAGAGGUAGGCGGAAUUCCCGGUGUAGCGGUGGAAUGCGUAGAUAUCGGGAGGAACACCAGUGGCGAAGGCGGCCUACUGGGCACCAACUGACGCUGAGGCUCGAAAGUGUGGGUAGCAAACAGGAUUAGAUACCCUGGUAGUCCACACCGUAAACGAUGAUUACUAGGUGUUGGAGGAUUGACCCCUUCAGUGCCGCAGUUAACACAAUAAGUAAUCCACCUGGGGAGUACGACCGCAAGGUUGCAACUCAAAGGAAUUGACGG